rnacentral:rRNA from 1 species
UACGUAGGGGGCAAGCGUUGUCCGGAUUUAUUGGGCGUAAAGAGCGUGUAGGCGGCCUGACAGGUCUGCUGUGAAAACUCGAGGCUCAACCUCGAGAUGUCGGCGGAAACCGUCUGGCUAGAGUCCGGAAGAGGAGAGUGGAAUUCCUGGUGUAGCGGUGAAAUGCGCAGAUAUCAGGAGGAAUACCUAUGGCGAAAGCAGGUAUCUGGGCCAUCACUGACGCUGAGCUGCGAAAGCUAGGGGAGCAAACAGG